rnacentral:rRNA from 1 species
AACAGGAUUAGAUACCCUGGUAGUCCAUGCCGUAAACGGUGGGCGCUAGGUGUGGGGUUCCUUCCACGGGCUCCGCGCCGUAGCUAACGCAUUAAGCGCCCCGCCUGGGGAGUACGGCCGCAAGGCUAAAACUCAAAGAAAUUGACGGGGGCCCGCACAAGCGGCGGAGCAUGUGGAUUAAUUCGAUGCAACGCGAAGAACCUUACCUGGGCUUGACAUAUAGAGGAUCGCUACAGAGAUGUGGUUUCCCUUGUGGCUUCUAUACAGGUGGUGCAUGGUUGUCGUCAGCUCGUGUCGUGAGAUGUUGGGUUAAGUCCCGCAACGAGCGCAACCCUUGUCUUAUGUUGCCAGCACGUUAUGGUGGGGACUCGUGAGAGACUGCCGGGGUCAACUCGGAGGAAGGUGGGGAUGACGUCAAAUCAUCAUGCCCCUUAUGUCCAGGGCUUCACACAUGCUACAAUGGCCGGUACAGAGGGCUGCGAUGCCGUGAGGCGGAGCGAAUCUCUUAAAGCCGGUCUCAGUUCGGAUUGGGGUCUGCAACUCGACCCCAUGAAGUCGGAGUCGCUAGUAAUCGCAGAUCAGCAACGCUGCGGUGAAUACGUUCCCGGGCCUUGUACACACCGCCCGUCACGUCAUGAAAGUCGGUAACACCGGAAGCCGGUGGCCUAACCCUUGUGGAGGGAGCCGUUGAAGGUGGGAUUGGCGAUUGGGACGAAGUCGUAACAAGGUAACC